rnacentral:rRNA from 1 species
CUCCAGUCUUUCCGUAGGUGAACCUGCGGAAGGAUCAUUACCGAGUGAGGGCCCUCUGGGUCCAACCUCCCACCCGUGUUUAUUUUACCUUGUUGCUUCGGCGGGCCCGCCUUAACUGGCCGCCGGGGGGCUUACGCCCCCGGGCCCGCGCCCGCCGAAGACACCCUCGAACUCUGUCUGAAGAUUGUAGUCUGAGUGAAAAUAUAAAUUAUUUAAAACUUUCAACAACGGAUCUCUUGGUUCCGGCAUCGAUGAAGAACGCAGCGAAAUGCGAUACGUAAUGUGAAUUGCAAAUUCAGUGAAUCAUCGAGUCUUUGAACGCACAUUGCGCCCCCUGGUAUUCCGGGGGGCAUGCCUGUCCGAGCGUCAUUGCUGCCCUCAAGCACGGCUUGUGUGUUGGGCCCCGUCCUCCGAUCCCGGGGGACGGGCCCGAAAGGCAGCGGCGGCACCGCGUCCGGUCCUCGAGCGUAUGGGGCUUUGUCACCCGCUCUGUAGGCCCGGCCGGCGCUUGCCGAUCAACCCAAAUUUUUAUCCAGGUUGACCUCGGAUCAGGUAGGGAUACCCGCUGAACUUAAGCAUAUCAAUAAGCGGAGGA